rnacentral:rRNA from 1 species
AACGAACGCUGGCGGCGUGGAUUAGGCAUGCAAGUCGAGCGAGAAAGUCCCCUUCGGGGGGCGAGUAAAGCGGCGAACUGGUGAGUAACGAGUGGGCAACGUACCCCAGAGUGGGGAAUAAUCCGUCGAAAGGCGGACUAAUACCGCAUGUGUUCACCGGGUCCUCGGACCGGGUGAGGAAAGGCGUUUCGAUCUUCGGAUCGAGGUGCCGCUCUGGGAUCGGCCCGCUUCCGAUUAGCUUGUUGGUGGGGUAACGCCUACCAAGGCAACGAUCGGUAGCUGGUCUUAGAGGAUGGUCAGCCACACUGGGACUGAGAUACGGCCCAGACUCCUACGGGAGGCAG